CCUACGGGAGGCAGCAGUCGAGAAUUUUUCACAAUGGACGAAAGUCUGAUGGAGCGACGCCGCGUGGAGGAUGAAGGUUUUCGGAUUGUAAACUCCUGUCACUACAGAACAAGGGUGCGAAGAUGAAUAGUCUUUGUAUUUGAUGGUAUGUGGAGAGGAAGGGACGGCUAACUCUGUGCCAGCAGCCGCGGUAAU
rnacentral:rRNA from 1 species